CCUACGGGAGGCAGCAGUGGGGAAUAUUGGGCAAUGGACGCGAGUCUGACCCAGCAACGCCGCGUGAAGGAAGAAGGCUUUCCUGUUGUAAACUUCUUUUAAGGGGGAAGAGCAGAAGACGGUACCACUUCCCUCAGCCACGGCUCACUCCGUGCCAGCAGCCGCGGUCAUGCGUAGGUGGCAAGCGUUGUCCGGAUUUACUGGGGGUAAAGGGCGUGCAGCCGGUGAGAGAAGUCCGAUGUGAAAUCCACGGGCUCAACCCGGGAACUGCAUUUGAAACUGGUGCCCUUGAGUGUCGGAGAGGUAAUCGGAAUUCCUUGUGUAGCGGUGAAAUGCGUAGAUAUAAGGCAGAACACCAGUGGCGAAGGCGGAUUACUGGACGAUAACUGACGGUGAGGCGCGAAAGCGUGGGGAGCAAACAGGAUUAGAUACCCGGGUAGUC
rnacentral:rRNA from 1 species